rnacentral:rRNA from 1 species
GCGGGAAGAGCUCAAAUUUGAAAUCUGGUGGCCUCAGGUCAUCCGAGUUGUAAUCUAUAGAAGUGUUUUCCGUGCUGGCUCAUGUACAAGUCCCUUGGAACAGGGCGUCAUAGAGGGUGAGAAUCCCGUCCUUGACAUGAACUACCAGUGCUCUGUGAUACAUUUUCAACGAGUCGAGUUGUUUGGGAAUGCAGCUCAAAAUGGGUGGUAAAUUCCAUCUAAAGCUAAAUAUUGGCGAGAGACCGAUAGCGAACAAGUACCGUGAGGGAAAGAUGAAAAGCACUUUGGAAAGAGAGUUAAACAGUAUGUGAAAUUGUUAAAAGGGAAACGAUUGAAGUCAGUCGUGCUCUUUGGAUUCAGCCGGUUCUGCCGGUGUACUUCCUUUGAGUGGGGUCAACAUCAGUUUUGAUCGCUGGAUAAAGGCUGGAGGAACGUAGUACCCUCGGGUAAACUUAUAGCCUCCUGUCACAUACAGUGGUUGGGACUGAGGAACGCAGCACGCCUUUAUGGCCGGGAUUCGUCCACGUACGUGCUUAGGAUGUUGACAUAAUGGCUUUAAACGACCCGUCUU